rnacentral:rRNA from 1 species
GUGAGGAAUUUUCCGCAAUGGGCGAAAGCCUGACGGAGCAAUACCGCGUGGAGGAUGAAGCCCUUCGGGGUGUAAACUUCUUUUUCUAGGGAACACUUCCGAGCGUACUUAGAGAAUAAGUCACGGCUAAUCACGUGCCAGCAGCCGCGGUAAUACGUGAGUGGCAAGCGUUAUCCGGAAUCAUUGGGCGUAAAGCGUCUGUAGGGGGACACAUAAGUGGGGUGUCAAAGACUUUGGCUUAACCAAAGAAUCGCAUCUCAUACUGUGUGUCUUGAAGAAGGUAGGGGCAAAUGGAAUUCCCGGUGUAGGGGUUAUAUCCGUAGAUAUCGGGAGGAACACCAAUAGCGAAGGCAAUUUGCUGGGCCUUUCUUGACCCUCAGAGACGAAAGCGUGGGGAGCGAACCGGAUUAGAUACCCCAGUAGUCC